AUCAAAUACAUUAAAAUAUCGAAAAAAUAACACCAACAUUGCACUGAUAAUAUGCUUAUCUUUAGAUUUGAUAAUAAGUUAAUUCACUUUCAUUUAAAACUAACAGCAUAAUGUUAUCCCUGCUAAACGCAAAUUUUGUACGCUUGUUCAACGAAGACAACACCUGGGAGUAUUACGUCUGAAGCCGUAGCAACUUAAUGAAGCAAUUGUGAAAGUAAUUAACACCUACAAAGAUUUUAUGGUAAGCACAUAUUUUAUAAUUCAUUGAUAUUGGUGAAAAUAGGACAUACAUUGAAAUAAAAUUCCCCUCAACCUAAGUCUUCAUGUAUUAGCUAAUAGGUAAUAUAUUUAAAUAUCCCUUUCUAUAUAUGUAUCUAUUUAUUAUUUAGUAAUAUUGGUGUUCCUCUAAAAAGUGAGUUUAUUUAUGCGUAUGAUAGUAAGUAUACAGUAGGCACAAAUAGUGUGACGUCACGUUAACAAUUGAUAAAGACGACAGUUCAAAACAAAUUGUUAUCGCGGUUAAUUUCAUAAGAAAUACAUGGGCGUAAAAUUAACAUUUUUUAAAGUUGAUUUUUUUAAUGUUUAUUUUUGUGAUUUUUCUGGAAAUCCAAAAAAAUUUGCAGAUUUCUCUGUUGAAAAUGUGAGAACAUAACGAAAUACAACAUUGAACAAUUAUGAACUAUGGCAACAAUUAUUUGACAAAUUUUAAUUUGGAUUAAAUACUAUGUAAAACUUGUUCAAACUCUUCAAAAGGAAAAUCAGUAACACUUAAUUAACAAUAGAAAAACUGAAACAAAUAAACGUGCAAAAAGUAAGCAGACGCGAUGGUUAAAAAAUCAAUUUUUUUUAAACAUUAUUUUUUCUUCCUUUGUAUAUCUUAUGGAAUGAACCGUGAUAACAGUUUAUUUUAAACCGUCAGUCUUAACAAUAGACAAUGUGACGUCAAUACUAUUUGUACCUUUAAGGCACAAAAUCUUCAUUUUGUAUAUGAUAAUACUCUGUAUACUCUAGUCAUAAGGACAUUUGGCGCGAAAAAACUUUAUUAAACCAAUAUCUAUGCGUUAUAAUUGUGUAUAAAUAUGAGUAAAAACUUGUAAACAAUGCGUUUUUAAUAGUUAAACAAUUAAGAAAUAAACCUAAAUACAAAAAAUAAAUCACCUUUAAAAAUGUUAAUUUUAUGUCUCUGUAUUUCAUAUGGGAUGAACCGUAAUAACAGUUUGUUUUGAAUCGUCGCCCUUAUCAAUCGUUAACGUGACGUCACUACUAUGGUUUUUUAUUGAGACAAAAAUACGUUUGUGACGAAUAAAACAGCGAGUGGUUUUUUUUUCAGUUUUAUUAUAGGCCGGUCGAAACUCUUGCCCCUCCGCCACUCAAAAACUGAAAUGACGCUACUGACUCCAGUUUAAUUUGGAUUCCACGGAUAUUCUUUUUUUAUUUAACGACGGUUCUUUAAUUUGCAAUAAAUGCACGGCCCACUCUGCAGUCUACACUCAUUGAGUUUGCGGUGAAACACACUAUUGAGGCUCGUAACCAAUUUAUAGUAGGUACCUAAAUACAAUUUAUUCUAUCCGAUUAAUUACAUUAUAUUGAAAAUAUGAAAACGAAUGCAUGGUAAUUUGAACUUAAUUGAACUUCAGAUACACCACUGAUGUUUGGUCAUUACAACAUCUGAUGUCAUAAAAUCUCUGGUAUACGUACAGAUUAAAGAUAUGAAUCCAUUUGACGAUAAUAUAUUUAAAUAGUUUUCAAUGAUAAGAUAUUGAACAAAAUAAUGAGCAAUUCUUUUUUUUGUGUUGCACAAUUUUAUCAAGAAAUUGUUUGCUAAUACGUUAUUAAAUUGAUAAUUCAAAUUAACUUGCGAGCGACGAAUGCGAACAUGUCGUUAACACCAAACGUGUAUAUUGAGGCACAAGUUUCGUUAUAGGUUUGGCAAUCGCUAACAAAAGAUUGGUGAAGUUAGGAAAAUGACGGUUAUGGUCUUGAUUUACAACGUAAAACACAAUUCGAUGUCGAUAAUUUGGGUAAGUUUGUUAAAAAGAAUCUUCCAAAAUUGAUUCCAGACCAACGCAAACAAUGCAAUCAUACAUACAAUUACAAAUCAAAGCGCUGAAAUUUACUUUUAAAGUUAUUAAUCUCUUGGAACAGGGCGGUCAAACCCGUAGCCCGCGGGCCGCGUGUAGCCCUUGAAGGCUGUUUUUUGGUACCCCACAGUUAAAUUAUUUUUUUUUAUUAAUUAAAAAUUAAAGCCGCAAUAAUAUUAUAACAAAG
rnacentral:lncRNA from 1 species